rnacentral:lncRNA from 1 species
AUCCUUUUCUUCUAAUCGCAAGUUUCUGGAAAUUGAGAAGAAUAUGGGAAUUGGUGUCCGCAACUUCGUAAUCGAUCUUGGUAGUGAGUUGACAAUCACCGUCGGAGUCGCGUCGCGUUGGUAGGGUGGAUCUUCCUCAGUAUUGAGGCGGCUUCUAAGAAGGCUGGAGUUUGUCGAGGGGAUUGCAGAGGCAGUUGCGAGAUCGAGCCGAUCAAGAGAUGAGUUCCAGGCUAUCGUUGAAGCCAGCUAGAACCGUAAGAGGUCUGACGGUGUCUAGGAGUGAUAGGUGGACUAUUUGGCAUCCAGAAUCGGGGAGAAGUUUGUCGGAGAAGUAGGAUGGCCAGAACGUCAUUCCAUAGAUUUGGGUGACCUCUCUACAGUUAAGGAAAAUCUAGUGACCAUUCUGCAAAAUCUGAAAAUUAAGUUACCUCUUUGUAAUUUCUCUAAGUUUGGGGACUGAAUUGUACUUUCUGGAAUGUUGGGCGACUUAUCUACAAAUAGGAAUUGUUCAGUAUAUAUUUUGCAUUUAUCAAUAGAUGAAGGACUUGUUUUGUAAAUUGCCAAACAAGGUCGUGAAUUAAUGAUUCUUCCUCCAAAAGUUUCAGCU